AACGAACGCUGGCGGCGCGCCUAAUACAUGCAAGUCGAGCGAGAAGACGUAGCAAUACGUUUGUAAAGCGGCGAACGGGUGAGGAAUACAUGGGUAACCUACCCUCGAGUGGGGAAUAACUAGCCGAAAGGUUAGCUAAUACCGCGUACGCUCCUUGGACUCCGGUUCAGGGAGGAAAGCGAUACCGUGGGUAUCGCGCUCUUGGAUGGGCUCAUGUCCUAUCAGCUUGUUGGUGAGGAACGGCUCACCAAGGCUUCGACGGGUAGCUGGUCUGAGAGGACGAUCAGCCACACUGGCACUGCGACACGGGCCAGACUCCUACGGGAGGCAGCAGUAAGGAAUAUUGCGCAAUGGGCGAAAGCCUGACGCAGCGACGCCGCGUGGGGGAUGAA
rnacentral:rRNA from 1 species